UCCCUUGUUGCGCAUUCACUUGUCUCCAUAGCUAAGUGGCUUAACCCCAACGAUGCCGUGGACACCCUGAGGGGGUGACUUUGACAUAAUCAAAGAUCAAGGACUUAACCACAAGACAACUGUGAUGCCUCAGGUCAAAGGACUAUUUUGCAUUAUCCCAACCAUGAGUUCUCAUGUGACAUGGAAUAUAAGAACUCUUCGUUGA
rnacentral:lncRNA from 1 species